UUUAUAGAAAGGUACAUUGAUCUAAGCAGUCAGUGGAUGCGGGGAAUGAUAAGCAGCGAGGGGGUAGAAAAUGACAGCUGGUGAGUUGGCUGGCUGGCUACUUCCUUUCCCCUCCGCUGAUUGAUCUCGUUUCCAUGGCACCAUUAUUAUUUUAUUAUGUUUUCAAAAACAAAUUGAAAAUAUGUGCUCUGGCAAAGACCGAUUCCGAGUAGAAAGAAUGUCGUGAUUGUGCAUUGAAACGAAAUUCAUACUCGAAAAGGACCUACAUGCACUCUUUCUGUUGCUGCUGAUCUGAUGUGAAAUGGAAAAUGUCAGUUUGUUUGAGACAUCAAUUGGCUACUGUGCUUUACUCGGUUUUAUUUCGAAUUAAGAACGAAACUGUUUCUUGCAACGGUGACAGACAAAAUAGAGUAUGAAAGUCGCUGAAAUAGUGUCUCAUUUUGAUCGUUUUUCGGAGUUACAUUACAUAUAGUUAAUUACAUUACAUAUUAAGGUCUUUAAUUGCAUUACCAUCGAGUCAGCUUUUUGUAAAGAAAAUGUAUGAUCAGCACUGAAUAAUUUAAAGAAGUAAUUCGAAAAAAAGAAUUCUCAAACUGCGGUUGAUUGUCAGGAAACAAAGUGAAGUGGUUUAAGGGGAAACAUGUUGCUAGGAUCUCAAGGCUUGCUGACCUGAUAAAGCAUAACAAACCAGCCAGCUGUCUGAUUGUUUUCCAAUAUGGCGGAAUGCCCUAUUUGACACAUUGAAUUACCUCCC